rnacentral:lncRNA from 1 species
CCCACGGGUACUAACACUGGCUGUGUGGAUCCACAAAACUAAUAUAAUAUCCAAAGGACUAAGGGUGUCAAGCCUGAACUGACGGGUGACCCCUGUGAGAUAGCCAAGCCUAAUCUGACGGGUGACUUCUCAUAUCCUACGCUGGCGACAUAGUUUUGGAGUAUAGGGACUGCUACUAACGACUCUGCCUAUCUGACGGGGAAGACAUCAUUCCUACACUCGCUCGGUGCUAA